CGGGAGCUAGUUGAUGCAGCGGUGAGGAGAGGUGUUGAUAUCCUUUGCGUCCAAGAAACCAAAUGGAGAGGACAGAAGGCGAAGGAGGUGGAGGAUACCGGCUUCAAGCUAUGGUACACGGGGACGGCUGCAAACAGAAGUGGCGUAGGCAUCUUGAUCAACAAGAGCCUCAAGUAUGGAGUGGUAGACGUCAAGAGACGUGGGGACCGGAUUAUCUUGGUCAAGCUGGUAGUUGAGGACUUGCUUCUCAAUGUUAUCAGCGCGUAUGCCCCGCAAGUAGGCCACAAUGAAAACACCAAGAGGGAGUUCUGGGAAGGCCUGGAAGACAUGGUUAGGAGUGUACCGAUUGGUGAGAAGCUCUUCAUAGGAGGAGACCUCAAUGGCCACGUGGGUACAUCUAACACAGGUUUUGAAGGGGCGCAUGGGGGCUUUGGCUAUGGCAUCAGGAAUCAAGAAGGGGAAGAUGUCUUAAGUUUUGCUCUAGCCUACAACAUGAUUGUAGCUAACACCCUCUUUAAAAAGAGAGAAUCACAUCUGGUGACUUUUAGUAGUGGCCAACACUCUAGCCAGAUUGAUUUCAUCCUCUCGAGAAGAGAAGAUAGG
rnacentral:rRNA from 1 species